GUUAAGUCCCGCAACGAGCGCAACCCUUAAGCUUAGUUGCCAUCAUUAAGUUGGGCACUCUAAGUUGACUGCCGGUGACAAACCGGAGGAAGGUGGGGAUGACGUCAAAUCAUCAUGCCCCUUAUGAUUUGGGCUACACACGUGCUACAAUGGACAAUACAAAGGGCAGCGAAACCGCGAGGUCAAGCAAAUCCCAUAAAGUUGUUCUCAGUUCGGAUUGUAGUCUGCAACUCGACUACAUGAAGCUGGAAUCGCUAGUAAUCGUAGAUC
rnacentral:rRNA from 1 species